rnacentral:rRNA from 1 species
UACGUAGGGGGCAAGCGUUGUCCGGAAUCAUUGGGCGUAAAGAGCGUGUAGGCGGCUCGGUAAGUCCGCUGUAAAAGUCCAGGGCUCAACCCUGGAAAGCCGGUGGAAACUGUCGAGCUAGAGUCCGGAAGAGGCGAGUGGAAUUCCUGGUGUAGCGGUGAAAUGCGCAGGAUAUCAGGAGGAACACCAAUGGCGAAGGCAGCUCGCUGGGACGGUACUGACGCUGAGACGCGAAAGCGUGGGGAGCAAACAGG